rnacentral:rRNA from 1 species
GACGAACGCUGGCGGCGUGCCUAACACAUGCAAGUCGAACGGAGAAUUUACGGAAUGCGACUUCGGUCAAGUGAAGUAAGUUCUUAGUGGCGGACGGGUGAGUAACGCGUGAGCAACCUGCCUUUCAGAGGGGGAUAACGUUUGGAAACGAACGCUAAUACCGCAUGAUAUAACGUAAUCGCAUGAUUGUGUUAUCAAAGGAGGCAAUCCGCUGAAAGAUGGGCUCGCGUCCGAUUAGCUAGUUGGUGAGGUAACGGCUCACCAAGGCGACGAUCAUUAGCCGGACUGAGAGGUUGAACGGCCACAUUGGGACUGAGACACGGCCCAGACUCCUACGGGAGGCAGCAGUGGGGAAUAUUGCGCAAUGGGGGAAACCCUGACGCAGCAAUGCCGCGUGAAGGAUGAAGGUUUUCGGAUUGUAAACUUCUUUUACUGAGGACGAAACAAAUGACGGUACUCAGAGAAUAAGCCACGGCUAACUACGUGCCAGCAGCCGCGGU